rnacentral:rRNA from 1 species
AGGACGAACGCUGGCGGCGUGCUUAACACAUGCAAGUCGAACGGAAAGGCCCUGCUUUUGUGGGGUGCUCGAGUGGCGAACGGGUGAGUAACACGUGAGUAACCUGCCCUUGACUUUGGGAUAACUUCAGGAAACUGGGGCUAAUACCGGAUAGGAGCUCCUGCUGCAUGGUGGGGGUUGGAAAGUUUCGGCGGUUGGGGAUGGACUCGCGGCUUAUCAGCUUGUUGGUGGGGUAGUGGCUUACCAAGGCUUUGACGGGUAGCCGGCCUGAGAGGGUGACCGGCCACAUUGGGACUGAGAUACGGCCCAGACUCCUACGGGAGGCAGCAGUGGGGAAUAUUGCACAAUGGGCGGAAGCCUGAUGCAGCAACGCCGCGUGCGGGAUGACGGUCCGUUCGGGUUACGUAAACCGCUUUCGGCCUGUGACGAAGCGUGAGUAGACGGUAAGUAGGUAAAGAAGCACCGGCUAACGUACGUGCCAGCCAGGCCGCGGU